rnacentral:rRNA from 1 species
UACAGAGGUCCCGAGCGUUGUUCGGAUUCAUUGGGCGUAAAGAGCUCGUAGGCGGUUUGUUGCGUCGGCUGUGAAAUCCCGAGGCUCAACCUCGGGUCUGCAGUCGAUACGAGCAAACUAGAGUGUUGCAGGGGAGACUGGAAUUCCUGGUGUAGCGGUGAAAUGCGCAGAUAUCAGGAGGAACACCGGUGGCGAAGGCGGGUCUCUGGGCAACAACUGACGCUGAGGAGCGAAAGCGUGGGGAGCGAACAGG